GGUCCUACGGGGCGCAGCAGUAGGGAAUCUUCCACAAUGGACGAAAGUCUGAUGGAGCAACGCCGCGUGAGUGAAGAAGGGUUUCGGCUCGUAAAGCUCUGUUGGUAGUGGAGAAAGAUAGAGGUAGUAACUGGCCUUUAUUUGACGGUAAUUACUUAGAGAGUCACGGCUAACUACGUGCCAGCAGCCGCGGUAAUACGUAGGUGGCAAGCGUUGGCCGGAUUUAUUGGGCGUAAAGCGAGUGCAGGCGGUUCAAUAAGACUUAU
rnacentral:rRNA from 1 species